rnacentral:rRNA from 1 species
AUUGAACGCUGGCGGCAGGCCUAACACAUGCAAGUCGAACGAGUGGCGGACGGGUGAGUAAUGUCUGGGAAACUGCCUGAUGGAGGGGGAUAACUACUGGAAACGGUAGCUAAUACCGCAUACCAUCGGAUGUGCCCAGAUGGGAUUAGCUAGUAGGUGGGGUAAAGGCUCACCUAGGCGACGAUCCCUAGCUGGUCUGAGAGGAUGACCAGGAACACUGGAACAGAGAAACGGUCCAGAGUAGUACGGGAGGCAGCAGUGGGGAAGAGUGCAGAAUGGGCGCAAGGCUGAUGCAGAAAUGCCGCGUGUAUGAAGAAGGACGUCGGGUUGUAAAGUACUUUCAGCGGGGAGGCGUUACCCGCAGAAGAAGCACCGGCUAACUCCGUGCCAGCAGCCGCGGUAAUUC